UUAACCCUGGAGUUCUUCCAACUCUCCAGCCAUUUCACCACCAAAACGCGUCCUACCAUUCAAGGCACCACCCCUCUUAUGUAUAGGACCACCCCCUCGUACUUAACUGAUGUGGGAUUUGCCUAAGGUGUGCUGGCCUUGCCACAUACACCCCCCCUUGGGGACUCAGCGUCCUCGCUGAGGUUUGCCCCACCACCGGCCAGAGGAACGAGGGUCGGCUCUGAUACCAAUUGUCAUGGCUGAAUAUUGUCCGCUUUGGGCCCUUCCGUACGAGGUCACCCUCACGGUUUUGUUCUUGGGGGAAAUGGGAAACUUCCCAGGAGGUCACCCAUCCUAGGAUUUCCGUUAAGCGAGCACGCUUAACCCUGGAGUUCUUCCAACUCUCCAGCCAUUUCACCAC
rnacentral:lncRNA from 1 species